rnacentral:lncRNA from 1 species
CACACACACACACGGUUUAGGUGAGUAUGUAAUAGCAUAGAUAUAGUAUAUAGGGAAAUAACAUUAUUUGUAUUUGUAUUGAAAACAAUUGAUAUACUAACAUAAAGUUUAAAAUAAUAAUGUAAUGUGUAAACUAAGGGUGAUUUCUACAUUUCAAAAACUGGAUUUCAUACAACUUCACAGUUAGUUACAAGCUACAAAAGUAUCAUGAAGGCAGGUAUAUAUUCCUGCUAACUUAGCCUAUAUUGCUAGGUAAAAUAUAUAUGCAUGGUGAACAUAUACAUAAAAUCCCUCACAACCCAAGGACAUGUAUUAACAACUACUUAGACUUACAAUAUCAUAUAUACCUGAAGGAAGUGACAUUUACUCAAAAAUUUAUGCUUAUAAUGGAGAACCAUAGGAGUGAUAUACCAUGUCUUUUGUCGAAUUGUACUCUUCAUGGAAAUUUACAAACAAAUUAUGAUUUAAAACCUUUUUUACUAUAAUAUGCUAUGACAAUUUUACCAUUAAGCCCUUGAUUGAGUUCCAUUCUUUUGAAAAAAUGCAUUUUUCAAUAGUAUUUUAACAUCAUUUCAACCACACAAUCUUUAAUAAAAUAAUAUUAAAUGCAAAUCCAAAUUUUUUUUUUAUUUUUUAACUGCACAUUUCUCAUCAAUACACUGUUCAAAGAUUCAUUCUCUCCCCCAAAAUGGGGCUCAAACAAGGGCUAAGUUCAUUACCUACUAUAAAGAGGGUACUUAGGUUUGUCUUCUAAAUUUUAUAGACCAUUAAGUUCACUACCUAUUACAAAGAGGUACUCGGUUAUAAUAGUUUGUCUUCUAAAAUUGAACUUCUUCAAUGUCAAACAUUUUCCUAUAAUUAAAAUACACAAACUGUAUAUUUUGUUUCAUUAUUUAGUAGACACCUAUUGUUAAUUUAAGUUUCAAAAAGGAGCAAGAGAUAUCAAAUAUUAUAAGACAUUUCGGCAGCUCAUGCAAUCAAGGAUUAAACAAUCGUUAGUUAGAAGAAAAGUAUUAGGACAAGCAAGCAAAUUAAUCAUCACAUAAUGUAUUAGAGGAAGUAAACAAAUUAAUUACCUUUGGAGCUUUGGCUUGUCAUCUGUUGAGAAAGUAAUUUCAUGCAUAGGCCCACAUAAUUGUCAAUUCAAAAAAGGAAGCUACAGAAUGCAUAAUGUUAAGGUAUGCUAACGUGUUUUCAGUCUUGAAAGAAACGAUGACAUUAUUUUAUUAGCAAUAAGUUAAAAAGACACUCAAAUAAAUUGAAAAAGAUUGAUCUCUAUCAGCUUCCAAAGUCAUCUCAAUAUAAUUUU